CGGAGGGAUCAUUGCUGGAACAAACGCCCUCACGGGUGCUCUUUUCUCAUAAAGGGGGGGGGGACUACCAAAAAUGUUGCCUCGGCAUUGGUUGGCCUCUUUGAGGUCCCUUUCCCUCGGGGAAGGAGCAGACCGGCCGGUGGCCCUAUAAACUCUUGUUUUUGUAAUAUCAUCUGAGUAAAAAACAUAAAUAAAUCAAAACUUUCAACAACGGAUCUCUUGGUUCUGGCAUCGAUGAAGAACGCAGCGAAAUGCGAUAAGUAAUGUGAAUUGCAGAAUUCAGUGAAUCAUCGAAUCUUUGAACGCACAUUGCGCCCGGUGGUAUUCUUCUUUUUUUUGCCUGUUCGAGCGUCAUUUCAACCCUCAAAGCAUAGAGAUGGGGGUUGGAGGAAUACCCAGUAAAACGGGUACCCUCUGAAAUUUAGUGGCGGGCUCGCUAGAAUUUUGAGCGUAGUAAUUUUACCUCGUUUUUAAGACUAG
rnacentral:misc_RNA from 1 species